UAGGGAAUCUUCCACAAUGGGCGAAAGCCUGAUGGAGCAACACCGCGUGAGUGAAGAAGGGUUUCGGCUCGUAAAGCUCUGUUGUUAAAGAAGAACACGUAUGAGAGUAACUGUUCAUACGUUGACGGUAUUUAACCAGAAAGUCACGGCUAACUACGUGCCAA
rnacentral:rRNA from 1 species